UGCUUAAAUAAAAAAUAAUACUCUUACACAGACCCUUGAGGACCUGAAGCAGGUUGUUGACACAGACGUAGUGAUAACAGAGAAUGCUACAGAACCAACGUUCUUCGUUUAUUUACACAGACCUCAAACGGACAAAAAAACAAGGCGCGCAAAGGAUGUAUUGUGUUUGCAAAAAGCCAGACGACAGAAGGCUUUAUUGGCAGUGCAGUGACUGUCAAGGAUGGUUCCAUCCUAGCUGUGUCGGGGAGGAUGUAAACCAUGAGCCGAAAAUCUAUCGAUAUUUUAUAUCGCUUCUAACAUACACUUGCGUGACCAAUAGCCUCAUUUACUAAAAAGUGGUGAGCAGGUAAAAACAUAUCCGUCUACAACAUGCCUAAUGCGGCGACACGAAUUACCAUUAGCAAUUUAAUGUUGAUGUUUUAACUUUCAUGUCGCAUAUCGACUGUUUUGUUGAGAAUCUCGAACAUGUUUUAAGAAAAUGAUAAGGAAACAUUUGGCAUUUUUCGUCGAAAAAAAAGACGAUGCCUCACCCUCUAAUAUCAUUUUUUUCUGACUGCGGAAUGAGGACGCAAAUGAAGGGUUGAAGGCGAUUUCUUUGUGUAAUAAUGACACUUAAUUGUUUCGUGUCAUCGAUCUUUAGUUAUAUUUGUUCCGGAUAAGUUUUGUUCUCGUUCACUAACUACCUCUAAUUGUGUAUUCAUGUUACAUGUCUGCUAUUUACACUAUAACUAGGUACCCCCUAACUAACAUAUACCGAUGCACUAAUUUAGUAGUUUUAAAGACCUAUU